rnacentral:rRNA from 1 species
UACGGAGGGUGCAAGCGUUGUCCGGAUUUAUUGGGUUUAAAGGGUGCGUAGGCGGCCGAUUAAGUCUGGGGUGAAAGCCCACUGCUCAACAGUGGAACUGCCCUGGAAACUGGUCGGCUUGAGUACAGACGAGGGUGGCGGAAUGGAUGGUGUAGCGGUGAAAUGCAUAGAUACCAUCCAGAACCCCGAUUGCGAAGCAGCUGCCUAGACUGUAACUGACGCUGAGGCACGAAAGCGUGGGGAGCGAACAGG